GGCGAGAUGGCUCAGUGGUUAGAGCGUAAAUUUGCUGACCGGAAGGUCUGUGGUUCGAAUCCCACUUCUGCCU
rnacentral:tRNA from 1 species